rnacentral:rRNA from 1 species
AUUGAACGCUGGCGGCAGGCUUAACACAUGCAAGUCGAGCGGGGUGAUGGUGCUUGCACUAUCACUUAGCGGCGGACGGGUGAGUAAUGCUUAGGAAUCUGCCUAUUAGUGGGGGACAACAUCUCGAUAGGGAUGCUAAUACCGCAUACGUCCUACGGGAGAAAGCAGGGGAUCACUUGUGACCUUGCGCUACUAGAUGAGCCUAAGUCGGAUUAGCUAGUUGGUGGGGUAAAGGCCUACCAAGGCGACGAUCUGUAGCGGGUCUGAGAGGAUGAUCCGCCACACUGGGACUGAGACGGCCCAGACUCCUACGGGAGGCAGCAGUGGGGAAUAUUGGACAAUGGGGGGAACCCUGAUCCAGCCAUGCCGCGUGUGUGAAGAAGGCCUUAUGGUUGUAAAGCACUUUAAGCGAGGAGGAGGCUCUUUUGGUUAAUACCCAAGAUGAGUGGACGUUACUCGCAGAAUAAGCACCGGCUAACUCUGUGCCAGCAGCCGCAGUAAGAC